CUUUCCCCAUUUUAAAUGAAAUGUAAAUGAAAUGAAAACUGUGUGAAUCGCAAUCAAUGCAGAGGUCCGUUGUUUGAGGUUGAGAGAGAGAGAGAGAGGGAGAGAGAGGUAGAGGGACGUAGACAUGCAUGUUUUGUUCUUUGAAAUGUUUACUCUACGAGACUGUUAUGUAUUUUUUAUAUGUCAUCUAUUUUGGAGGUUUGGUCUUAUGAAAACUGAUUUUGAAUGAGUGAUACGUGGCCGUGGCCGCCUUGUAGUUGUAGCGACCAGCAGCGCUAGAACAAUUUAUAAUUUGCAUACCCUGUGCCGCCCAUUGAACCCUGGGAAGGGUAAUAGACAUUCUGGCAUUUCUAUCGAUCUUUUCGUGGGUACAAUGAAUAGGCACAAAUGAAGUACUAGAAAGUUGGAUUGAUAACCGUAUCUUGGAAAUGUUGUAAUCAACACCCAAGUUCAGACAGACCGCGAUAUUUACGAUUGUCAGCCUACGCCUUUGUUCUGAGAGCGCCGACUUGUGGCGGGAAUGUCAUAAUAAAUCUGUCAUUAUUUGUAUGUCGUUGUUGCGACUGGACAAUGGCGCACUGUAUAGGUCGAUUGCUUAUCUGAAAUGAGGCGAGUCAUGUCAAUCAACACCAAAGUUCCAAAACAUCGCGUAUAUUAAACAUCGUUACGCGCCUUGGUAAUGCACACCCUCCCCAAUUUAAAUGCAAUUCCGAGAAAAAAAUAUAUGAUAAAAUUAAGUUUGUAUUUUAAUAAUUGAAGAAAAAAAAAAGAAAAAAAAAUUAUUUUAAAGAGGUGGAAUUACAAAAUUAGAGGGGGCAGAUAAAGUAGGUGAAGAAAAAAAAAAUUAAGUUUCAAGAUAAAGAAAUCGGGAGAUGUAUUGAAGAAUGAAUUCGCAGUUU